UACAAAAAGUCGGAGCCCGCAAGGGUGACGGCGUACCUUUUGUAUAAUGGGUCAGCGACUUACAUUCAGUGGCGAGGUUAACCGAAUAGGGAAGCCGUAGAGAAAUCGAGUCCGAAUAGGGCGAAUAGUCGCUGGGUGUAGACCCGAAACCAAGUGAUCUAUCCAUGGCCAGGAUGAAGGUACCGUAACAGGUGCUGGAGGUCCGAACCGACUAGUGUUGCAAAACUAGCGGAUGAGCUGUGGAUAGGGGUGAAAGGCUAAACAAACUUGGAAAUAGCUGGUUCUCUCCGAAAACUAUUUAGGUAGUGCCUCAAGUAUUACCUGCGGGGGUAGAGCACUGUUAAGGCUAGGGGGUCAUCCCGACUUACCAACCCUUUGCAAACUCCGAAUACCAGUAAGUACUAUCCGGGAGACACACGGCGGGUGCUAACGUCCGUCGUGGAGAGGGAAACAACCCAGACCGCCAGCUAAGGUCCCAAAUUAUUACUAAGUGGGAAACGAUGUGGGAAGGCUUAGACAGCUAGGAUGUUGGCUUAGAAGCAGCCAUCAUUUAAAGAAAGCGUAAUAGCUCACUAGUCGAGUCGGCCUGCGCGGAAGAUGUAACGGGGCUAAGCUAUAAACCGAAGCUGCGGCAAUGCGAUUUAUCGUAUUGGGUAGGGGAGCGUUCUGUAAGCCGUUGAAGGUGUGUUGUAAAGCAUGCUGGAGGUAUCAGAAGUGCGAAUGCUGACAUGAGUAACGAUAAAGGGGGUGAAAAACCUCCUCGCCGGAAGACCAAGGGUUCCUGUCCAACGUUAAUCGGGGCAGGGUAAGUCGACCCCUAAGGCGAGGCCGAAAGGCGUAGUCGAUGGGAACCAGGUUAAUAUUCCUGGGCCAGGAGAUGGUGACGGAUCACAGAGCUAGUUCUUCCUUAUCGGAUUGGAAGGGCUGGUGAGUGGUUCCUGGAAAUAGCCCUCCAUGAGACCGUACCCUAAACCGACACAGGUGGAUAGGUAGAGUAUACCAAGGCGCUUGAGAGAAGUAUCCUGAAGGAACUCGGCAAAUUGCCUCCGUACCUUCGGAAGAAGGAGGCCCUGAAUCGAGGCAACUCUUUUCAGGGGGCACAGGCCAGGGGGUAGCGACUGUUUAGCAAAAACACAGGGCUCUGCGAAGCAGCAAUGCGACGUAUAGGGUCUGACGCCUGCCCGGUGCCUGAAGGUUAAAGGGAGGAGUGAAAGCUCCGAACUGAAGCCCAGGUAAACGGCGGCCGUAACAAUAACGGUCCUAAGGUAGCGAAAUUCCUUGUCGGGUAAGUUCCGACCUGCACGAAUGGUGCAACGAUCUGGACACUGUCUCAGCCAUGAGCUCGGUGAAAUUGUAGUAUCGGUGAAGAUGCCGAUUACCCGCAGCGGGACGAAAAGACCCCGUGAACCUUUACUAUAGCUUCGUAUUGACUUUGGAUAAGUGAUGUGUAGGAUAGGUGGGAGACUUUGAAGCAGCAUCGCUAGGUGUUGUGGAGUCAUUGUUGAAAUACCACCCUUUGCUUAUCUAGAGCCUAACUCAGCAAUGAGAACAGUGCGUGGUGGGUAGUUUGACUGGGGUGGUCGCCUCCAAAAGAGUAACGGAGGCUUCUAAAGGUACCCUCAGCACGCUUGGUAACCGUGCGUAGAGUGCAAUGGCAUAAGGGAGCUUGACUGAGAGACAUACAGGUCGAUCAGGUACGAAAGUAGAGCAUAGUGAUCCGGUGGUUCCGUAUGGAAGGGCCAUCGCUCAAAGGAUAAAAGGUACUCCGGGGAUAACAGGCUGAUCCCUCCCAAGAGCUCACAUCGACGGGGGGGUUUGGCACCUCGAUGUCGGCUCGUCACAUCCUGGGGCUGGAGAAGGUCCCAAGGGUUGGGCUGUUCGCCCAUUAAAGUGGCACGCGAGCUGGGUUCAGAACGUCGUGAGACAGUUCGGUCUCUAUCUGUAGUGGGCGUUAGAAAUUUGAGUGGAUCUGACUUUAGUACGAGAGGACCGAGUUGGACUGACCUCUAGUGUACCAGUUGUCUCGCCAGGGGCACUGCUGGGUAGCUACGUCGGGAAGGGAUAAGCGCUGAAAGCAUAUAAGCGCGAAACCCACCACAAGAUGAGAUUUCUUUAAAGGGUCGUUAUAGACGAUGACGUAGAUAGGUUGUAGGUGUAAAGGUAGUAAUAUCAAAGCCGAGCAAUACUAAUUACCCG
rnacentral:rRNA from 1 species